ensembl:snRNA U1 U1 spliceosomal RNA
GUACUUACCUGGCAUGGGAGAUACCAUGAUCAAGUAGGUGGUUUCCCCAGGGCGAGGCUUAUCUACUAUAUUGGGGACGUGCUGACCUCUGCGAUUUCCCCAAGUAUGGGGAACUCGACUGCAUGGUUUGUGGUAGUGGGUCACUGCGUUCGCGCUCUCCCCUG